rnacentral:misc_RNA from 1 species
CCUUUGGAAGAUUGGGAAUAUUGCUCGUAUGGGCGAUCUAUGGGUCUGGCUACAUGCUAUAGUCCUCCAGCGAUUAAGUCCAGCACAGUUUCUACUGUAAGCAAUAUAAGCUGCAGGUACAUGAAAAGCAAGGAACCUGCAAAGCCAUAUUGGAAUCUCAGACCAACUGGAUCAUCUUUCAAUGACUGGGAGGUUUCUUCCAUUUGCCCAGAUACUACUCCAUCAAUCAACAGAUCACAUUCCCUAUCAGUAUGUAUUGUUAAUGUACUUUUUGGUCUAGCCGUGUUCAUUUUGAUUGUCUGGGAAAUGCUGAUUCGUCACUGAGUCAUGCGACUCUCACCAGUUAUCACAAGCAGCAAACCUCAGCAGAAAUUUUUUGUUUUCUAUCAAGUACAACUGCGAACUUGGAGUCAAUAGGGACUUAACAUUGUUUUGUUUAAUCACGUCCUCAGCCCGUUGAAUGGACAUAUAUGUUUACAUAGUUGCCAUCUGUUAAUUGGUGCCUGUUGGAUGUCAUCACUGGAUUAUGAAUCAAGCAUUUUCCAAGAUAUUGUUUUCAGGGUUCUCCACUUCUCCAAACUGGACUCAUAAAUGCAAUCACCAGCAGAAGGAAGUGGAGAACCCUGGUUGCUUUGUUUGAAUGGGGAUACAUUUUGUUCUGUUGAGGUGUUUAGUUGAUUGCUAUUUU